CGUGCUUAACACAUGCAAGUCGAACGCGAAAGGGACUUCGGUCCUGAGUAAAGUGGCGCACGGGUGAGUAACGCGUAGAUAACCUGUCUUCAUGUCUGGAAUAAUACGCCGAAAGGGGUACUAAUACCGGAUAUUCUUGCUUUUCAUAAGUUAUGCAAGCAAAGGUGGCCUCUGCAUAUGCUACUGCAUGAAGAGGGGUCUGCGUACCAUUAGCUAGUAGGUGGGGUAAUGGCCUACCUAGGCGACGAUGGUUAGCGGGUCUGAGAGGAUGAUCCGCCACACUGGCACUGGAACACGGGCCAGACUCCUACGGGAGGCAGCAGUGAGGAAUAUUGCGCAAUGGGGAAACCCUGACGCAGCGACGCCGCGUGAGUGAAGGAAGGCCUUCGGGUCGUAAAGCUCUGUCAAGAGGAAAGAAGUGUACAAUGGCUAAUACCUGUUGUAUUUGACGGUACCUCUAAAGGAAGCACCGGCUAACUCCGUGCCAGCAGCCGC
rnacentral:rRNA from 1 species